rnacentral:rRNA from 1 species
GAUGAACGCUGGCGGCGUGCCUAACACAUGCAAGUCGAGCGAUUUACUUCGGUAAAGAGCGGCGGACGGGUGAGUAACGCGUGGGUAACCUGCCCUGUACACACGGAUAACAUACCGAAAGGUAUGCUAAUACGAGAUAAUAUACUUUUAUCGCAUGGUAGAAGUAUCAAAGCUUUUGCGGUACAGGAUGGACCCGCGUCUGAUUAGCUAGUUGGUAAGGUAACGGCUUACCAAGGCGACGAUCAGUAGCCGACCUGAGAGGGUGAUCGGCCACAUUGGAACUGAGACACGGUCCAAACUCCUACGGGAGGCAGCAGUGGGGAAUAUUGCACAAAUGGGCGAAAGCCUGAUGCAGCAACGCCGCGUGAGCGAUGAAGGCCUUCGGGUCGUAAAGACUCUGUCCUCAAGGAAGAUAAUGACGGUACUUGAGGAGGAAGCCCCGGCGUAACUACGUGCCAGCAGCCGCGGUAA